UCAGGUAGUGUUGCGUAUACAACAUGUCGAGGGGAUGCUGUGUUUUGUGCUGUGAACGCAAAUGUACUUUGUUUUCGCUGCCAAAGGAUGACGAUGUGAAGUAUCAGUGGUUACAUUUUUUUUCCACGAUACCACUGCAGUACAAUUCCAACCUUGUGUAAUGUGCUCCUCAUUUUACCAGCGACUGCUCAAAUUUCGACGAGUUCAACGCGGGAUUUGCCAGCUGCUAGACCCUUUGCUAACUUUGCUAACGUGUCUCACAUUAUGGUUUUGUCAAGUGUGCAAAGUUUAGCUGUGGUCACUCACGAUCCCCUUCAAACAAAACGGUUUGCUUGUCAUUAUCUUAAAAACGGACUGCAGCACUAUCAUUUUAUUAUGUAAAGGUGUGUGCAUUAUCUUUGGAAGCAUUAUCUUUGGAAAUGUGCUCCUCAUUUUACCAGCGACUGCUCAAAUUUCGACGAGUUCAACGCGGGAUUUGCCAGCUGCUAGACCCUUAAAGAUAAGUCAAUACCAACUUUAUUUGGACUAACAAGCGUCUCAGAACCACAAGAUGGUAUCCACAGAGGCCUUGUAUAGGCUAUGAGACCCAUAUAUUAAACAUAGAUAAAGAUUUCAUUGUUGUUUGGUUCUCUGUACCAAACUGGAUGGAGUAAUCUUGAAGCCCAGGGCCCCCUCGGGCUCAUGGUAGUCAAGGGCCCUUGGACACUGGCCCCAUUGGCCCGGUCAGUAAUCCAUCCCUGCUGGCACGAGGCGGUACGAGUUUUCACCGGUGUACCCUCGCGCCACAGCCGGGAAUUCAAAAUAACGGAUCGCAACAACCUCUCGACUGUCCCAUUGGAGGGACACCCAAGGCCAACAGACCCAGCUCCAGCCCACCCUGAUGCUCAUCCUUGCACUGCCUGCAUGGGACAAACAGGCCAACAGUCGAGCUCCUGGUCUCUUUUUGUCAUAAAUACAUAUCUACUUUAGCAAUACAAAAUUGUGAAAUGCACUAAAGAAAUAAUUUUGACUUUGGAUCCUCACGUCACCUGGUAAUAGCAGGAAACCCAUUUGGAGAGAACAAUUGGUUUUUUUUCUUGCUCGCAAGGAUUUUCUUUUUGGCAAAUUACAACUUUACCACUGGUCUAGGCCUUGCUAUUAGAGACUACUUUUUUGCUGGACUUUUUUACAAUUGUACAUUUGUACAAAGUACCUGAAAUAUGUCUGUAUUUACAGUAUAUUUAAAGUUAAGGCAAAUU